GGCCCUGUCGUCUAACGGUCAGGACACGGCCCUUUCAAGGCCGCGAUACGGGUUCGAUUCCCGUCAGGGUCA
rnacentral:tRNA from 1 species